GAUGAACGCUGGCGGCGUGCCUAAUACAUGCCAGUCGAGCGAACGGACGAGAAGCUUGCUUCUCUGAUGUUAGCGGCGGACGGGUGAGUAACACGUGGAUAACCUACCUAUAAGACUGGGAUAACUUCGGGAAACCGGAGCUAAUACCGGAUGAUAUUUUGAACCGCAUGGUUCAAAAGUGAAAGACGGUCUUGCUGUCACUUAUAGAUGGAUCCGCGCUGCAUUAGCUAGUUGGUAAGGUAACGGCUUACCAAGGAAACGAUGCAUAGCCGACCUGAGAGGGUGAUCGGCCACACUGGAACUGAGACACGGUCCAGACUCCUACGGGAGGCAGCAGUAGGGAAUCUUCCGCAAUGGGCGAAAGCCUGACGGAGCAACGCCGCGUGAGUGAUGAAGGUCUUCGGAUCGGAAAACUCUGUUAUUAGGGAAACAUAUGUGUAAGUAACUGUGCACAUCUUGACGGUACCUAAUCAGAAAGCCACGGCUAACUACGUG
rnacentral:rRNA from 1 species